UACGUAGGGGGCGAGCGUUGUCCGGAUUUACUGGGCGUAAAGGGCGCGCAGGCGGUUGGGCAAGUUUGGGGUGACAGUGCUCGGCUUAACCGAGCAAGGUCCUCGAAAACUACUCAACUUGAGGACCAGAGAGGGACACAGAAUUCCGGGUGUAGCAGUGAAAUGCGUAGAGAUCAGUAGGAACACCAAUGGCGAAGGCAGCUUGCUGGCAUGUAUCUGACGCUAAGGCACGAAAGCGUGGGGAGCGAACAGG
rnacentral:rRNA from 1 species